UGUGUGUGUUCUGUGUUUGCAUUUUCUCAGCUUACAUGAGUGACAGUGUUGUUUCCUCAUCAAGGAUGAAUAAGCUCAGAGAUAAAACAGCUGGGCAACAUCUGUUGCUGCAACAUCACUAGUAACAAGCUUGUCGUAAUAGUUUAAAUGGAAUCCUGUGCGCCGAACAAAAAAAAUUAACCACCGGAACAAACUGCAAGAACACUCAUUAGACAGUAAUCCUCUGCCAACCACCAAAGCACCUUGUCUUUAUAUUGGAUGUUCAAUAUUAGGUCUUUCAAUUUUACAAAAUGACAUAUUUGCAGUGAGAUUACAGUAGAUGUAUUGUUAUCAGAAAACUUUGUGAAACUCAUUUUAGUAAAUAAUUUUAUCAGGUAAUAACAUGGAAACCAGUGGAAGACCUUAUAAAAAUAUUUAUCAGAAAUUAUACUCAUUAUACUCAGAAUGAUCUAUACAGUGAUGUGCAGACAUUUUAGGCAUCUCAAAGUAAUAAGAAAAGUAGUGUUUGAUGCCCCUCCCCAUAUGAUUUUUAUUGGCAUGUCAACACAAAAUCAGUUCCAACAAAAGUGAAUAUGUCAGUUAUAUUUUUAUUCUGUAAUAACAAUAAAUAAUAAUUUCUUUGUCACUGACUAGUAGAAUACCACACAAACACAGUUGCAAAUGAUCAUGCAAUAUUAAAAUGAUUGAAAAACACAAUUAUUCAUAUUUUAAGUUGCGUUUUUCUGAAAAUAGUUUUUGAGGUCCUGCGACUUGUACUCUGGUGUGACUUAUAUACUGAAAAAUCACACGUAUAGAACCCUAUUUUCAUAUUGAUUAUCAUUAAAGUUGAAAUUCACCACACAUUGUAUUUAUUCAUGAAUAUUUAUAAGGUUUUCAUAAUGUUUAUGCUUUUAUGGUGCAUUAAAUGUGCCUAAAACAUUUGCACAGUGUAUGUGUGCGUGCAUGUGUGAUUUUUUUUUUUUCUCAUAGAAGAUUCAUUGAGAUUUCUUUCCUCAAGCCUUGUCAAGCACUGCCCAUUGAUCUUUGGGUAAUCCUGCUAAGAAAAACAGAAAAGAAAGCCGACAUGGAUGGAAACAUAACCUCUUUGGCUACAGAGGUAAUCAAUAGAACUCAGCUGCUGAAAAACACCUUUGUCGUUUCCACAGAGGGCGUUUCUGCCCAGAAGAUUCACAUUUUGUAAAGAAAGAUGGUGUUAUUGCUGCAGGGUUCAGAGCUGUAAACACACCCACAUUUGAUGGCAUCAGUGAUGGCCAACCAUCUCAGCAAUGAUCCAAAGAGCAACUGCCAUCAUUGAGUCAUUAAAAGAACAACAUAGGCCAGUGGGUGAACAUCUUUUUCACACUUCUAAUAUGGUUGUUGUACACAAAUACAUUUAUUUUCACAUAUAUGCAUCCAUGAAACUCAGAGUUUGAAACCAUGUCCAACCCUUGGAAGGCGUUAGAGGUUCUGGGAGGGUGUCCAUAAUCAUCCAGGAUAUUCUCUCAUUGUGCUGUGAUGAUCAUUCAUUCAUUUAUUUU